GUCUCUCCGUGGGGCCUUCCCUCCGGGCAACACCUUCCCAUGUGGGACUUCACCCAGGGAAGAGGACUCCACAGCGAGGACCUUCUUCUCUCGGCGCCCGCUGCGGGAGAAGCUGAGCCGUCACUCUGGUGUUGUUGCUGGAGCUGGUUCCUUGUUGACCAUGGACCCCGGGUCUCUGGGCUCCGGCCCAGGUUCCAGCCCGCAUGGCCCAGAUGUACAACGAGUUGAGUCCCUGUCCGACACCCUGCCUUCGCCGGUGAUCGAUCACAGCCACUCAGCGACGCUUGUGGCUUCCCAGCUGCAGCCUCAGCCACGAGCCCUUCAGUCCGGGCUCUGGCUGAAGGCCCUGCACCUCCUCCUGGCCCUGAAGGGGCUCGUCUGCUCCUUCCCGUGGGUCCAGCAGGUGCUGCAGCUCCAGAGAAGCCUGUUGAGGAGCUCUG
ensembl:lncRNA